AAUUCUGGGUAGGGCUUGCGGGACAUCGAAAGAUGUGCCAGUUUCCAAUGUACUGGUCCGCCAACCCGCAAGUCCUCGCCCACCAUC
rnacentral:antisense_RNA from 1 species